rnacentral:lncRNA from 1 species
UGACUGCCAAAUAUAUUUCACCCAGAUGGACGUGGGAAGUAUACAUGUCAAACAAAUAUGUAUGCGUYAGAACACCAAAUACCAAUGGAAAUGUUGCUGUCGCUACAGAGCAAGCAUCAGUGAAUCCUGGUUGUUUUACUGUAUGGGCUGCAGGACCUCGAGGGGAUCCUUCCGGGGCUCUGAAUUGUGGAAAGUUUACGUGCAUGUUCUAAUUUAUCCUUCAGCUGAGUCAGGUGGAAAAAUACUGCAGGUGAACAUAAUACUGUUUUGUCACUAGAAAAUUAACUGCUGGACUGAAAUCAGCCUGGAAAAGUAAAGAGGUCAUGACACAACAUCUGUUUUUUGGAGAGUAUAGUUAUUACCACCAAAUAAUAUAGCAGACACUGGAGUGGAAAAAAUAACUCCAGAACAGAGCUGCUGUAGUGAUGCCUUUUUGACCACGGUUCUGUGGAUUACAUUGACUGGAUUUCCCUAAGAUGCAUGCUUGGAAGGUAAGUUUGGACAAAAUACUCAUACCACUCAAACAUGAGG